GUGUCUUCCCUUCGGAAACUUCGGAUGAAAUUGGAACAACACAUAGAAGAUUAGCAUGACCAUUGCGCAAAUCGAUAUGCACAAACUGAGAAAUGGUCCAAAUUUUC